CCCCAGUACAUCAAACUUGAUACAUAAUUAACAGCCAGAGAAGAAGAAGAAGAAUAAUAAUUUUAAAAAACAAAAUAAAAUAAACAAUUUAAACCAAAACAGAAAAUAUAAUUAUAAUAGUACUUCAGGGGUUUAAGGAAAACUCGUUAUGAUAUUACUCUUGAUAUUACUCUCAUUGAAAAUGACAACAUCACAACUGAAUUCAGAUCCACUAUGACAAGAAUUUGGAUGGAAUUUGUCCCCUCAGAAUGGCAAUUACCAAUAACAAAUGUGUGCCUCAACCACUUCAUAAAGAUAAACACACAUGAGAAAAUGAGCUAGAGUAGGUGUUGGAGGGUUGAGAUGUUAAGGUUUAAUAGAACAUGAAUCAAAACUCCAACUAAGUGAGGUUUGUGUGUGGAUGAGAUUUUUGAAUCCUUCAAUCUACUCUUCCUAGGUCCCCAAUUUUGGCCAUUCAAUUAAAGGAUUUGGAUAGUCACUAGAAAAGCUUGGAGGUUCACUAUCUCAGUGGCUUACUGUGAGCAAUUCCAAAGGUUUUUCUCCGCUUCUAAUUACUUGGAGCCUUUGUCUUGUUCAAGUUUUGAUGGAGAACAUGCUCUCAUAUUGUUGUACUGCCCCACUUGCUUUUUUUUGGGUGCUAGGUCUGAAUUCAAGGCUUUCUGUAAAUGCUACGUAAACUUUGUUUUCUUCUUUUCUGCAAUCAGAUAAUCAAAAGUUUAGAGCUUCUUGCUUUUCCUUGUGUUAAUAAACUAUUCAGACAGAUCUACUUCAUUCUGGAAAUCAAUUGAAAAAGAAAUAUGAAAAAAAUAAAAAUGCA
rnacentral:lncRNA from 1 species